rnacentral:lncRNA from 1 species
CGCGGCUGUGGCCGGAGGUUCCCGGAGCCGGAUCAGGACGUCUGCGGAGGACGCAGGGGCGCUGCCUUCCCCCUGGUUCUGCGGGUUCGGGAAACUGGGUAAUGAGCAUUGCGCCUCCGGUCGCUCCCCCCCUGAGGAUCCAGUCCUGGGAUAGUUGUUUCUUGGAUCAAUCCUUGGGGUGCUGCCCCUGAAAAACGAAGGAGCCUUCCCGAAUACUGAUUUCUGGGGACUGUGCGGCCCUAGAGCCGGAAUUUCCCUCUUGCGGCUGCGCUGAGGAUGAAAGCUCAGCUCGGAGUCCGGACCGUCAGGUUCCUGCGCUCCCGGGGCCUCCUGCCCCGCACGCCCGCCUCGGGGGCUGCCCUGGGCCCGAGGAGGAGUGAGCGGGCUUCUUGAGGCGCAGGAGGUGCUGCAGGUGGACCUGGGGAAGCGGGACAGGUCCUGACACGCCUCCUGGUGAGGCCACGGCCGUGGGUAGCGUUUCCCCAUGCCGUAGGCUGACUUCGGGUCUGGGACCCACCUCCACCGGGGCCUCCGAAUCCUGUCCAGCCAACUGCGAAUUGCCGGCGUCCACUGGAUAGACAGUAGACAUUUCCGUAAUACGUGAGUUAAAACACACAAGACCGACCUGUUUUCAUUCGUCUGUAACCUACAGUCUAAAGUAGAAACUCGUGAUCCUGAAGGGACGGCCUCUCGUUGGCGGUCCUACUUCCCUCCCAGCCCCACCAGCCCAGCCAAGCUGGUGCCGAGUCCUUUACAUAUGGAGUGGUGGAGCCACCACUGUACCUUCUGGAGGAGACGAGCAGUGGUUCCCUCCUCGGGAGGCACCCCGCUCCACCGUUUUCUGCAGUAAUGGAAACACACAGUAGUGAAGGAUUGAAACUCGGAGUAAGCUACUGAGCAAGACAGGCCCCAUAAUUUCACUUACCUGGCUGUCACGUGGUCUUUUUUUUUUUUUUUUUCAACGUUUAUUUUAUUUUUGGGACAGAGAGAGACAGAGCAUGAACGGGGGAGGGGCAGAGAGAGAGGGAGACACAGAAUCGGAAACAGGCUCCAGGCUCCGAGCCAUCAGCCCAGAGCCUGACGCGGGGCUCGAACUCACGGACCGUGAGAUCGUGACCUGGCUGAAGUCGGACGCUUAACCGACUGCGCCACCCAGGCGCCCCUGUCACGUGGUCUUAAGGGGGUCUGGUGCUGAGCCCAUUGUGUAGGCAGUUUCUAUGUGUGUCCUUUGGAAAUGGACAUCGAAAUGAGCUCUUCCCCUCUCUCUCUCCCUUUUCACUUUGACCAGUAUUCAGUGCCCAACCACCGUGAGCUGAAUACUGUCCUCAUGUGCCAGCGUUGUGAGGCGUGGCCCUUUCCCAACACAACCUCACUGAUGAGGCACUUAUGCCCAGUCUUUAGGCCAAGGCUGGGCUGCAGAGUUGCAGACUAUUAUCUGACCAUCAGGAGCACAAACGAUUAGAAUGCAGUCCGAGUACUGGGAGGGCAGAGUGAGAGUCAAGGACCAGCACAGGACACGGAAGUGCUUGUACACCUUAAGGGAGACUAGCAAGUGUCCCAGUGAAAAGGGAGAUACGGCAGUACAGGGAAUGUAAGAGAGGAAGAUGCCCUUGUCAUGUGAUAGGGAUGAUCAAUCAACAGAUCAUUUUGAGCACUUGGGAUCACAUACUCAUGUUAGGUGCUGUGCUAGAUUCUGUGUAUGGAGAAAUAAGUAAGGUGGUCAUAUUUUUAAAAUAUCAACAUGGGUCAUUGCAAUGUAUGUUACCUAAAAGUUAAAUUAAAACAAUAUAAAAAGGUAUUUAUAGGCAAACAGGAAUGUGCCUAAGAGGUCAGGGAGAUCCAAUGUUUGAUACCAGAUUCAUUACAAUAAUAUAACCACAUUGUGUUUGUAGAUAUAAAUUGUAGUUACCACCCUUUAAGAGUCUAAAUUUCAGCAUGAAAAUGUUAAAAAUGAUACAGGAAUAUGGGUGUCACGGUGUAAACCCCGAGUGGUUUUCAAAUGAAUCGUAGAAGUAGAAAAUGUUAAGUGUUCAGAAGGCAAAAUCACUGUUACAUAGAAUCAUCCAGAAAGACUUUAUAGAGAGCCAGGGCUUGACCUGUGGAAGAGAGAUGACUGCCAUCUUAUAGGGACUUACCAUAUGUCAAGCAUUGUGCGAGGCUCUUCCAUCUAAACCACCUUUGUUCUUUAUGACCCCUGAGAAGCAGGUUUUUGUCUUACAUCUCCAUUUUAUAGAUGAGGAACCUGACUUAGAGAUGGCUACUUGCCCUGAGUCACACACCUCAGAAGCCGUGGAAUUAGGGCUCAAACAGCUUGGGCAGGCUUCAGAGCCCAUGCUCUUUACCAUAAAUAGCACAAACAGAGGCACAGAGGUGAUGUGCCAGACACCCCCAGUGGCUCCACUACGACCUCAUAGUGACUCAGACCAGGAAUGACACAUGAAACGUUGGCAGCCUUGUGUAGCCAUCAGCCUGACCAAUUACAAAAAGUCACCCCAGGGGCGCCUGGGUGGCGCAGUCGGUUAAGCGUCCGACUUCAGCCAGGUCACGAUCUCGCGGUCCGGGAGUUCGAGCCCCGCGUCGGGCUCUGGGCUGAUGGCUCAGAGCCUGGAGCUUGUUUCCGAUUCUGUGUCUCCCUCUCUCUCUGCCCCUCCCCCGUUCAUGCUCUGUCUCUCUCUGUCCCAAAAAUAAAUAAACGUUGAAAAAAAAAAAAUUUUAAAAAAACAAAAAGUCACCCCAAAUUCCUAUCCUAAGGGGGUUCAAUGGGGAAUGGUCUCAUAAUGGAUCUGGGGUGAAGGAUGAGUGGUAGUGUAAGGCCGGCAGGUGGAGGGUUGGGCAAUCAGAUGAGAACAGAGUUUCAGAACAAAAGGUUGGAAGGCAGAGAUGCUGUAUGUGCUGAUAGAGGCGGAGAGGGCCCGGACCGAGAAACUGCAGAAAGAGAACAGACUCCUGACCCUGCGGUGUGGGAGUGUCCCCAGAGAGGGCGGCUGGGACACUGAGCCGUCCAGCGGAGAUGUGCCUGUGCAGCGCCUCACCAAGGAGCGGGUCUCUUCCCCCUCCCAGUCCCAGAUUCGAGACUCAGAGUGGCUCACGUGGAAUCCACGGGACAUGUGUGCCUUUUGUUUCUAUGAGAAGAUUUUAUGCUCUUAUUAAAUUCUCCAUCACAGGGAUGCAGUGGUUUCCCAUGGAGGACAUGGCCCUGGAGUAGCCCUGCCUCUUAGCAGGUUUUCUCUUUCUGGGGGGACAUGCCCUUGGCCUUGACCAAAACACUUCGGUUUUUUGGUUCAGUCAGUAAGUGAGUAGCUAUGUUCUGACACUGCUUACGUGCCAGUCUACCUCUGCCUUUUUAUCUUCCAGAUUGUCCUGGGCUAAAAUGUCUACAGACCCCAGGAUUGCUACAGGUCAGCUGUCCCCACUGGAGAAGAAAAUCUUGGUAAGUAAUCUUCACGUCAUAUGGUUUGGAACUACUAGGAGAAGGAGCCUUGGGUUUAAAACCCUGCCCAGGUGACCCCUGUCUACACUGGCAGAUGUGUUUCACUAUAUCUAUGCUUGCAAAACAAAACACUAUGUUGAAAGCACCCAAUACUAUAUUUUUAAAGCACUAGUUAUUGAUUUUGGUGGGGUAAUUUAACUUUCAGAGCUCAUGGGUUCACCUAGGAGUGAUGGAGUAGAAAUCACAAUUAUUACACCCACAUAUCUUUUCUGGCUGUCAGUAAUGAGGGUAUGCUCCUGUUUAAAUGUGUUCAGAGUGAAAAGAUGGUCCCAUUAUGAAAUCCUCUACCUCACUUUGACAGAGUCUGGGUGGUGUGCAUACAACAGCGACAAGACAACUGAUAACUCAGAAAUACCAGGAGGAGUACGAGACACUGUGUAGGGAGCAGGCUCUUUCUCAUGACUACUGGCUUGCCAAAACAGAGUCUUACUAUAAUAAAAGAAUAGUGGAGUUGAGGGAACAAGAGACAGGGUGUGAAAUGGAGAAGAAAUUGAAGGGGGAAACAACCCAAAGCGUGGAGAGACAAAAACGGUAUUAUUUGGUUCCUGUGAGGGAGGGGGGACACAUAGAAAGUCACAUCCAGAGAGCAGGUCAGGUCAGAGAGGUUAAGAAUAAGACAUGUAGGCCAUUACUACAGGCUCCUGGUGAAACCACCUUCCCCAGAAUUGUGCCAGAGGAGCACAGCAUCCUGAGCGCACAGAGGAGAAAGCAAGUGAGCCAGAGGGAGCAGGUACAAAUUAAAGGUCACCAGGAACGCAUGCUGCGGGGCAGAGAGCUGGGAAAACAGAGACUCAAGGAGGGAGUCUUGAGAAAAGGCCAGAACACGCCGCUGACCCAUGGGAGGCACAGGAGAGCAAAGAGAGCGGUGAAGGAGUUUGAAAGCAUCACUGCAUAUCCACUCCUGCAGCCAUGCAGUAGAAGUCGGAUCAAAGUGAAUGUUCUCGUGGAAAAGAAUAGAGAAGAAGGGAAUACUGCCGUAAAACCACAUCAAAGAGAAUUCCUAACUAUGCCGCCCUUUUUGAGAAGCCAAGUGGGAAAAAUAAAAGACUAGUCAAGUUUCAGCGCUUUUAGAAUAAAAUCAUGUCUCCGAAGUGGACUUUGUUUUUUGAACUAUUUCCCAUCUCUCCCCAGAGUUGGGUGAGAUCGCAUCUGUAUCACAUGGUUCUGGACUUGAAACCUGGCUGUUUUUAGUUGGCCUCUCUGCUCAGGUUGCUAAUCCUCUGAUGUUGUUUUUCUCCUGUGUUGGGUGGUUGGUCAAUGAUCUGAGUGAGGGGUUGUUCUCAGACACCUCCCACCUUGCCCCUGCCCCAGCCCUUGACGGGUGUCCUGAUGAGACUGCUGAAGGUCAGUGUUGGGUCUUUGAUUUCACAUUCAUAAUUUUAUCAGGGAGCCAUUAAUGGGACCCUACAGUUUUGUUUGUUUGAGGAACUUAAUUCUGACAGCCUCCUAUAUGCCAGGUAUUAUUAGUUACUGGGAGUGAAUGAAAAGAGGUCCCUGCCCUUGAUUGGUUCACGAGUAAUGGCAUAGACCACUCCCCACUCACAACGUGGCCUGGGUGAUGCUGGAGGCGUGCACAGGCCCUGUGCAAAGGAGGGCACCUGGCCAAGCCCAGCUGAGCAAGGAGGGAGCCCAUGGGAGGGGAGUGGUUUCUCAGGUUGCCUCCAGCUCCACACGUGGCCAUGAAAGCAACAUCUUCCCAGCAUUGGAUCCACUCAGAGGUAAAGCAAACUCUCUCUCAAACAGAUGUCCUCUAACACUCAUUGAUAACUCAGAAAACAAAUUUAUGCAUUUAGUGGGAAUUUCAGUAGCCAAGCAGAAUGAAAUUUGUUGAUUUCAUUUUCAGUUCAUUUUCUUCCCAGAUACCUAAAAGUUGGGAAAGUAGGCGUUCAGAGGUGGUGAGUAGAGAAUCAGAGACAUGGAAAAUGCACACCGUGGGGAGUGUCACCCUUCGGCUGUGGGGGUCCUGAUGCCCCCCUCCUGGGCCUGCUGCUUGCAUCCCCCAGUGAUGGGGCUGUCCUGCACUGCUGCUCCUCAGCAUGAUAGCCACCUCCCACCUGUGCCUCCUGCACACUGCCCUCGCCUUUUCUGGCCUUGCGUCACCAUGUCCCAGUGGCGGACCCUCAGCCUUGUAACAGGGUGUAUUGUCCAACUUAGAAACCCCAAUCAGUAGGGCUUGGGUAAGCCCUUUGAGUUGAGUGGGACUGAAAAGCAACCUGGUACACAACUGUAGGGGCGCCUGGCUGGCUCAGUCAGUGGAGCAGGUGACUCUUGAUCUCAGGGUCAUGAGUUCGAGCCCCCCGUUGGGUGUACAGAUUACUUAAAAAAAAAAAAAAAAUCCAGGGACACCUGGUGGCUCAGUUGGUUGCUUAAGUGUCCAACUCUUGUUUUCAGUUCAGGUCAGGAUCUCACAGUUCAUAGGAUUGAGCCCCACGUUGGGCUCUGCGCUGACAGCGUGGAGACUGCUUGGGAUUUUCUCUCUGCCCCUCCCCGUUCUCUCUCUCUCUCUCUCAAAAUAAAUAAACAUUUAAAGAAAUACAUAACUGUAAGGGAUUGUUUACCAUGAAGGUUUUCAGUGCUAGACACGGUGAGGUCGGCCUCCCUCUUUCUCCUCCAAAUCUAGUGUAAAAGCAGCUGGUGAUUGCAAGGCACUUUCACAGCUCAUCCAUCUCAGAGUAAAAGUCUGGUAACAGGGCUCAGUUUGGCCAGACCUGACUCCGUCAUGUCUACCUCAUAACUCACCUUUUAUCUCCUUGAACGGUGUGUGAACAACCAUCUUUACCCCAACCAACCAUGAAUCAUGAGUCACACUUAAUGCUUUUCUUCUGUAUUCUUUCGUCUUCUCAGUACAAAGUGAAUAUACAAAUGAAAAUGUCUAUGUCCAGGCACCCACUGCUGAGGCUGAGACCUGGAACCCCCUGUGCUGACAUUUACACCCCUCCCUCAUCCCUAGAGGCAGUCACUGGCCUGAAUUUUGUGGUAAUUAACACCUUUCUGUAGUUUUCGUCAUCUAUGUAUGUAUUCCUAAGUGACAUAAUUGUGCAUAGUUACCUGUUUAUGGCAUGUGUAUAGAUGAAAAUUAUAUAAUUUACUUUUGUUCAUUAAUAUUUUUUAAUUCACCCAUGUUGAUGUGAAACACUAUUUCAUUUCCUUUUUUUCCUCUUUGAAGCACGUCUUUUAAAAAAUUUUAAUGUUUAUUUAUUUUUGAAAGAGACAGAGCAUGAACAGGGAAGAGGCAGAGAGAGAGGGAGACACAGAAUCCCAAGCAGGUGCCAGGCUCCGAGCUAUCAGCACAGUGUCCCACGUGGUGCUCAAACUCACCAACUGCGAGAUCAUGACCUGAGCAGAAGUCAGAUACCCGACGGACUGAGCCCCCAGGCGCCUCUGAUUUGCAUGACUUCCCGGAUAACAUGUUCUCCUGGGUUUUCUCCAGCCUCACUGGUUUCCCUUCUGAGGCUCCUUGGUUGUUCUCCUCCCCUCCCCAGUCUCCUGGUGCUGGGGGUGCCUCAGAGUGACUCAUCUCCACGAGCCUCACGAGCUCUACAUGGUCUGUUCCCUGAAUCUCCACCAUCUAAGUGUGUACUUCUUGGGUAGUUCAUUCCAUGACAUGAGUAUACCACAUCUUAAUUACCUGCUGUAUUGUUGAGGUCAUUUCCAAUUUUUGGUUUUGUGGGGGUUUUUCACGUUUAUUUGAGAGAGAGUGAGUGGGGGAGGGGCAGAGAGAGAAGCCCAAGCAGCCUCCCCAAGGUCAGUGUGGAGCCCGACCUGGGCUCAGUUCCAUGAACCAAGAGAUCAUGACUUGAGCUGAAAUCAAGAGUCGGACGCUCAACCAAGUGAGCCACCCAGGCGCCCCUGUUUUUGUGUUUUUUAUUCUACAAAUAGUACUUCUGUAAACAUUUUUGUUUAAGCGUGUUUCUGGGGCACAGUGUGCAGGAGUCUCCAGGGCAUCUAGGUUGUGGGACCUUCACAUGACAAGCCUGUUCCUGGGGCUUGUUUUCAUUCCCCUGGUUUUGUGCCCGCAGGCCUGUUCUGUAGAGUCUGUUCAAAUAUGUGUUGAAAGAAGGAAGGACAUUUGUUAACUGCUGGAAACAGCUGUGUCGAAGAGGGCCAAGCCCCCAAAUACAGGAACAGGUGAUGAUGUGCCACUCUACCUUCUUAGGUCCUGUCCGUGCGUUAACAUAGUCUUUCUUUGUUCUUACAUUUUAUUUGAGGUACUAAAAUACCUUAAUUUGUUUUUUAAUACCCUUCAGUAACAUUCAUGAUUUUAUUUAUCCCCUCUCCAGAACUAUCUUUGAUGCCUUCCAGACAAGGUCACCCCCAUUUUCUCUUCUCAAGGCACCUGGCAUCAUCAUAAAGUUUCACUGAAGUCUGGAUAAAAGGGUUCCCAGAGGAGGAGGACAGGGAGCUCACAUCCCUGGAGACACUGGUCAGGACCUCUAGCAGUUCUCUGUUGUCUGUGGGACAGGAGUCCAGCUUUCCAGCCCUGAGCACUCCGUGGCUUCAGAGGAGAUGCGAGACACUGGAGGCCCAUUGACUGAUUCAUUCCACACGUACUGAAUCUUGUCAGUCCACACUGUGCUGACUGACUGAUGGAAGGGUGGGUAGGGCAGGGUCCUCCUCAUCGUGUGAGCUUGCAAUCUCAUGGUCCAGAUGGGGAUCGAUAAUCCUAGUACAGAAGUAAUAAAGCUAAUAGAAACAUCUAAGUGCCUCAGAAACUGUGGAGAAGGACUGGCCCUUUGGACUAGAGCUAAAGAGCCCCUUCGUGAAGGUUUACAGCUUUACGGAAUAGGUGGAUGCUCGUGCUGAAGGGGAGAAGUUUGAUAAGCAGAUGGGAAAGAGCACGUGGGCCCAGGGAACAGCAGGUGCACAGGACCCACACGUGAGUGGCUCUGGG